CUCCACUCGAGGGCAAAGGGUUAAUACAAACUCAUAAAAAUGAUUAAAAGAAGAUAAAAGCUUGCGUUUGUGUCUCCUUAUGUCUUGCGAUUGCCGAGGACAAUUUUGACUUUGCAUAAAGAUCCGCGGUCUAUCUACGACAAUAACGAGAUUGGAUUUAUUUUUAUUACAUAAAAUAUGCUAGAAUAAAAAAAAUGUAUCUAAAAAUCUCUCAUGGAAACACGAGGAACCGCGGACGCGGCGCCUACCUUAUCACGUAUUUCGCCCACGGGAUUCCCCUGGACGAGAAGGCUUCGGGAAGAGCCGCGGUCGGAUUUAUGUUCCAGUAGGGCACGACCAGGGUGAGUGCGGCUCCGACCAUCACGUACCCAAUGGUAACGAUAGCCAUCGAGAUGAUGGUUGCUCGCGGUAUGCUGUAACUCGGGUCGCGCGCCUCCUCGCCGGAAGUCGCGAUCGAGUCGAAGCCAACGAACGCGUAGAAACAGGUUGCCGCACCUGAUCGGAUCGCAGUAAAGCCAUUAGAAACUCGAUCGGCGAACAAUUCUCGCGAUAAAAAACAGUACCUGCUAGCACGCCGGUGAAACCGUACGGCAGAAAUCCUCCGUUCUCGUUGCUCCAGUUCGAAAUGUUCGCGUACGAGAUCCCCAAACCGAUCACCAGUGCCAUCACACCGAGAUUCACUAUAGUCAGCAGAGAGUUCACCGUCGCCGAACACUUGACGCCCAACGCGAGCAGCAUGGCGUAAGCCAGGCACAGGCCGCCGGCAAGCAGAUCCGGAAAAUUGCCCAGCGGCUCUCCCAUGGUGUAACCGUGCAUCGCCUGCCGGGUGUAAUUGCUGAUCGAUCCUCCUGCCAAGGAGUCCACGUAUCCGCUCCAAGCUCUGGCCACGGACGCCGCUCCUAUCCGGCGAUGGAAAUAUUCGACGUAUUGGAAAUGCAGCGUAGGAGUGCAACGCGUAAAUGCGUAGAAACAGCGCCGAGCAGGCCUCCGACAGGGAGGUCAGACCAAUUCCGGAGAAUUUAACCGUACUCGGGUCGACUAGCGUCGAGCGAAUCGCGGGGCCUCACCGAUCAUGUGCUCCAGGAUGAUGUUCCAACCGAUCACGAACGCCCAGAACUCCCCGACGGAGACGUAAGUGUAAACGUACGCGCUGCCGGCCUUCGGGACUCGGGCCCCGAAUUCCGCGUAGCAUAGGGCCGCGAGCAGGGAGGCCAUGCCGGCGAACAGGAAGCUUAAAAUUACACCUGGCCCGGCUGUGUCGUGCGCCACUGCGCCCGUCAGGACGUAGAUCCCGGCGCCGACCAUAUGCCCGACACCUGAAACACAAACGUUUUACCAUUUUCCCGGCGUGACUCGUCCGCGCGUAUCGCCGCGGCAAUGGCUCGCUUCCGGUUUCGAACCGUUAUCGGGAAACCAACGCGACAUCCUGGACGACGAUCGCGUCGUUGACGUCGCACUGCCGCGAGAAAUACGCGCUAUAUAUGUACAUGUAUACUCACCCAGCAAAGUGAUGUCGAACGUCGACAAACAUCGUUUCAUCGGAGUCUCGAGCAAAUCGCCUUCGAGCUUCUUCGUCCGAUUCAUCUUGGUGCACAAGUCGGACAUGACGUGUCCGAGGAUCAUCCGGCGAACCGACGGCAUAUUGUCGUCGUUUUCUGGAACAAAUCGGAGAAAUCACAGUGUCGUCUGUUACGUGUAACCGAAGCUCUUUCGACUCGAUCGACGCGGUUCGAGCGACGCGAGACGAGUCGCGUCGACGUUUCUUUCGUCGACGAAUUCGCGUCGACGAAGAGAAUUCGCGAGGCUCGCGCGGAGGGGUGCACAAGGGGCGACAGACGGGCGAUUAAGGAGUCGCUGUUGUACGAUUCGAGGCGGUGCGUCGUACAGUUUUGUUUGCGGUACUUACGGAGAUCUGCUUGCACGUUCUCGGUCGGGAAAUGUCUGAGAAAGUCGCGAGCGUCGUUCUAACGAGCUACGAUGCACGAGAUCACAGCGGACGCUGGAAUCUACGGAGUCGCAUGGCGCUUCCGCUAGCACGCAAACUCGGAUAUUCGAUCGAUUCAGCGGCGAUAGACCUAUUUAUGUAACGCAAACAGUAUGAAUGAAACGGGCUGCGUUAAUUCCGAUCGUUCUCGACCGGGCUGAGUUUCAUCUUUCAUUCCGUUCCCGCGAUCUAUGCGUCGCGACGACGAUGUUCGUCCAACUCGGAUUUCGCUCUCCUCGAUUUCCAGAUUUCCGAUUUGUGAUGAUCUUGGUCUCGAAGUGUUCAAGGCUAUCGUGCGCGAGAAAUGCUGCGCGUUUGAACGUAUAUCUCGAAUAUUGGGGGUUGGUACAGACAUCGCAUCUUUUAUGGGAUUUUCUCUGUCUAGGAUUUUCGGAGUCCUGAUUGCAAAAACUACCCCCUUACCAUUUCGGUGGCAGCAAGUAGCGAAACUCGCCGUCGGACAAGUUUCGGUAGUCCGCCACGGAUGGCAUCGCAAUUUGUCGAGGAGUUAUCCUGACUCGACCCUACGUAGCUUUCAGAAUUGAUUUUAAUUGACUUGUGAAUUUACGUGUAAUAAUUUGAAGGCUUCAAUCAUUUCGCUGCGAAAGUUACUGGUCACAGCAAGCCGAAUUUUAUCGAAAUUUAUUGUUAAAUGCAUUCGAUUCUCAGUAAGAAGCUUGAACAAUCUCAACCCCUUCCCCUAUAACGUCGAGUUAGGGUCGGCUGAUUGGGGUCCGAAGAAUGAAAAAGACGGGCCACAGUUUUCCUAUAAUUUAAUUUAGCAUUUAAUUGGUAUUUAAUUUAGACUGCCAUCUAACGAAAUUAUGUGCGAGGGAGAGUGAAUCAGAGUGUAUACUCAUAUAUGGGGACUGCAAGAACAAAGUUAUAGAUGCGAUUAAAAUCGAUUCGGACAGAAAUCUUGCGGACAUAAUGACUAAACCGUUGAGUAGAUUGAAGUUCAUUUAUUUAGAAAAUUAAAUAUUAGAUUAGAAUUAGAAAAUUAAAGUAUAAUUUGUAAUUUUAAAUAUGGAAAGAUACAAAUGUAAUAAGGUUUUUUUUUUGAAGUACAUUUGUAUUUACACUGCAAUCUAGGGGUGCGAAGUUACGUUUAAGGGAGAUUCAGGGUGAACGUGUCCCGUAUACAUGUUGUUCUCAUUUUCAUUUACAUUAUUAAUCUAUUAUUGUUAUUAUUAUUAUUAUUAUAUUGAAACUUUGCAGAAAA